UCUGGUGGUCAUGGCGCGGUGGAACCACCCGGUCCCAUUCCGAACCCGGAAGUGAAACGCCGCAGCGCCGAUGGUAGUGAGGCGACAGGCCUUGUGAGAGUAGGACGCCGCCAGGU
rnacentral:rRNA from 1 species